rnacentral:misc_RNA from 1 species
GAUGAAGAACGCAGCGAAAUGCGAUACGUAAUGUGAAUUGCAGAAUUCAGUGAAUCAUCGAGUCUUUGAACGCACAUUGCGCCCCCUGGUAUACCGGGGGGCAUGCCUGUCCGAGCGUCAUUGCUGCCCUCAAGCACGGCUUGUGUGUUGGGCCUCCGUCCUCCUCCCGGGGGACGGGCCCGAAAGGCAGCGGCGGCACCGCGUCCGGUCCUCGAGCGUAUGGGGCUUCGUCACCCGCUCUUGUAGGCCCGGCCGGCGCUUGCCGACACAUCAAUCUUUUUUCCAGGUUGACCUCGGAUCAGGUAGGGAUACCCGCUGAACUUAAGCAUAUCAAUAAGCGGAGGA